CCUGAACUCCACAUGAAAGGCAGACACUAUCAAACAACCUGACUAAUUUCAACAAGCUCAGCUCAUCAGAAACAAAGACAUCACGCAUCAGACAAAAAAGAGAUAAAAAUAAAAUAUAUAAAUAAA